UACAGAGGUCUCAAGCGUUGUUCGGAUUCAUUGGGCGUAAAGGGUGCGUAGGCGGCGCGGUAAGUCGGGUGUGAAAUCUCGGGGCUUAACUCCGAAACUGCAUUCGAUAACUGCCGUGCUUGAGGACUGGAGAGGAGACUGGAAUUUACGGUGUAGCGGUGAAAUGCGUAGAUAUCGAUAAGGAAGACCAGUGGCGAAGGCGGGU
rnacentral:rRNA from 1 species